AUGAACGCUAGCGACAGGCUUAACACAUGCAAGUCGAGGGGCAGCGGGGGUAGCAAUACCCGCCGGCGACCGGCGCACGGGUGAGUAACGCGUAUGCAACUUGCCUAUCAGAGGGGGAUAACCCGGCGAAAGUCGGACUAAUACCGCAUGAAGCAGGGGCCCCGCAUGGGGAUAUUUGCUAAAGAUUCAUCGCUGAUAGAUAGGCAUGCGUUCCAUUAGGCAGUUGGCGGGGUAACGGCCCACCAAACCGACGAUGGAUAGGGGUUCUGAGAGGAAGGUCCCCCACAUUGGUACUGAGACACGGACCAAACUCCUACGGGAGGCAGCAGUGAGGAAUAUUGGUCAAUGGCCGAGAGGCUGAACCAGCCAAGUCGCGUGAGGGAUGAAGGUUCUAUGGAUCGUAAACCUCUUUUAUAAGGGAAUAAAGUGCGGGACGUGUCCCGUUUUGUAUGUACCUUAUGAAUAAGGAUCGGCUAACUCCGUGCCAGCAGCCGCGGUAAUACGGAGGAUCCGAGCGUUAUCCGGAUUUAUUGGGUUUAAAGGGUGCGUAGGCGGCCUUUUAAGUCAGCGGUGAAAGUCUGUGGCUCAACCAUAGAAUUGCCGUUGAAACUGGGGGGCUUGAGUAUGUUUGAGGCAGGCGGAAUGCGUGGUGUAGCGGUGAAAUGCAUAGAUAUCACGCAGAACCCCGAUUGCGAAGGCAGCCUGCCAAGCCAUUACUGACGCUGAUGCACGAAAGCGUGGGGAUCAAACAGGAUUAGAUACCCUGGUAGUCCACGCAGUAAACGAUGAUCACUAGCUGUUUGCGAUACACUGUAAGCGGCACAGCGAAAGCGUUAAGUGAUCCACCUGGGGAGUACGCCGGCAACGGUGAAACUCAAAGGAAUUGACGGGGGCCCGCACAAGCGGAGGAACAUGUGGUUUAAUUCGAUGAUACGCGAGGAACCUUACCCGGGUUUGAACGCAUUCGGACCGAGGUGGAAACACCUUUUCUAGCAAUAGCCGUUUGCGAGGUGCUGCAUGGUUGUCGUCAGCUCGUGCCGUGAGGUGUCGGCUUAAGUGCCAUAACGAGCGCAACCCUUGCCACUAGUUACUAACAGGUAAAGCUGAGGACUCUGGUGGGACUGCCAGCGUAAGCUGCGAGGAAGGCGGGGAUGACGUCAAAUCAGCACGGCCCUUACAUCCGGGGCGACACACGUGUUACAAUGGCGUGGACAAAGGGAGGCCACCUGGCGACAGGGAGCGAAUCCCCAAACCACGUCUCAGUUCGGAUCGGAGUCUGCAACCCGACUCCGUGAAGCUGGAUUCGCUAGUAAUCGCGCAUCAGCCAUGGCGCGGUGAAUACGUUCCCGGGCCUUGUACACACCGCCCGUCAAGCCAUGGGAGCCGGGGGUGCCUGAAGUUCGUGACCGCAAGGAGCGACCUAGGGCAAAACUGGUGACUGGGGCU
rnacentral:rRNA from 1 species